rnacentral:lncRNA from 1 species
UAAUAAUAGUGAUAAUAAUAAUAAAUAUUCAAAAAAACUAAAAAUAAAAAAUAAAAAUAAAAAUAAGAAUAAAAAUAGCUAAGAUGGACCAAAUUGAACUUAAAACAAAAAAAAGGCGAAUUUUGAAUAAAAUUUCAAAGGAAAAGGGCCCAUUUGAACACGCGCGUAUCAACGGUGGACCAAAAGGGCAAUUAACCCGUCC